rnacentral:lncRNA from 1 species
UGUGUGUGUGUGUCUAUCACUCUUUAUUAUAGAGCAAGUUUGUACUCUCUUUAGAGAGCCAUCGUUAGAUAUUAAAGUCCCUUAAUUGGAUAUAAUGGAAAGUUGAAGAGGGACUAUAAGAGGGAGGGUAUCACAAAGAAGGAGGUUGCUUGUAACUGUCUUUCCAAUGUAUGCCCUUAUUAAUGGAGGGAGCCUAUGCACUACUGAUUUUUUGAGAGAAGAUAGAUUGUGUAGACUCCAUAUUUACUUUUUUUUU